rnacentral:lncRNA from 1 species
UGGCAGCCGGCUCCUGUGAUGGCUCCGUUGAGUCGGAGAGGCACGGAAGUAGACGGGGUCCAGAGAAGCAAUCUCAGUGGAAUGACUUUCCCACGGAGCAAGGGGUGAGCAGCGGCCCUCUGCCAGCCUCUAAUGACCUGGAAGCCCCUGUCACCGAGAAGCCCCGAAGCAUUGACCCCAGGGACACCUGGAUGCUCUUUGUCAGACAGUCCAACAAAGGGGUCAAUGGCAAAAAAAGGAACACUGGGAAAUCCAAAAAGUACAAGCUUGGGCUCCCUGGGCCUCCUGGACCCCCUGGCCCUCAGGGCCCCCCAGGGUCUUUCAUCCCACCUGAGGAUUUAUUGAAGGA